AACGCACAUUGCGCCCUAUGGUAUUCCGUAGGGCAUACCUGUCUGAGCGUCAGCUCCCACACUCUCAAGCUUGUUGUUUUUGUCUUCAAGUUUGGAUUACUUUGAGGAAGUAAAUUUUUGGAUUUACUCCUCAGAAAUUUAUAGGCAGUAUGGUUUGAUCUUGAAACCAGGCGUAAUAAUUCUAUAAAAUUCGUCUUGGAAAGAAAAAAAAAAAAAAGCCUUGUACUCGCCUUUUGAAUACACUCAUAAUUGGUUUAUGGGUGACCUCAGAUCAGGUAGGGAUACCCGCUGAACUUAA
rnacentral:misc_RNA from 1 species